UGCAAUAACUUAAGUAAUUUGACUGCUAAAUUUAAGGGAGUUUUUUUACCUGUAGCUUCAACAGGAUCUGUCAGACCUAUGUAUAUCUUCAAAGCAGUUUUAAAAUUGUAGUAUAAAUGCACUUACUUGUAACUUACUGAUAAUAUUGUUACAGUGAAAACAACAGGGCCAAAAUUAAAAAUUUUACUUACUACAUGAAAACAGUUUGCUAGGCAACUUAUUCAUAUAAACAGAUUUCCAGGAAAAUAUACAAUGAACAAUGUUUAUAGAACUAAGGAUCAAUAAAGCAUCUCUAACGUAUUAAUGAUGUUAUUUUUUUUAAUUGAAAAAUAUAGUGUUGUGGACAAACUAUAUUCUUCAAAGGAGCUGCCACAUAUCUAUAAAGCAGUCUUUUUAAAAUUAUAUAUUUACUGAACAGUCAGGCCAUUUCACUAAAUUGUGACUUAAGUAUUUCACACAAUAGCUUUGACUUUCAUACUAAUUCAUGUAAAAAGUUGAAAUUUGUGUGGAAAUCUGUUAUUUUCACAUGCUUCUUUUUAAUUCAUGUGAAUUAUAUCCUCUCUCCAACUCCUUUCUCUAGCCCUUGUUAUCCUUAGUACAGACAUGAUAUGCCUGCAGGUGGUCCAGAGCCAGGACUGUUCUCUCACUAGUCCUGCAGAGACUGAGCUAAGCCAGCUAUAUCAUUGAUAAUGCAGGCAAACAUCUGUUUCUUUAUGUGCCAUGAGUAAAUAUAGCCUGCACAUAGGUCCUGGAUCCAGAAUGUGGAUAUUACCAAAGAAGAAAACCAGUUUUCAGAAUUAGGUUGUGACUCUGAAUCCUAGAGAACACAAGUUUCGUCCUAUAACCAGAGACAAUAAGAUUAUACUUCAGCCUUUAAAUAAAAUUAAGUCACUAUUUUUAUAUUCUAUGAAUCAGCUGAGCAGGAAUAAAUGACAAAUUCUUUUCAUUCUCAUGUUUCAGAAUCUCUUAGUUUGCAAUUAAGGAUACUUUUAUGGAGUAUACAGGCUAUUUGGAAAGCCUGCUUCCAGUCUGGUCAAUAAUAGCAUGCAGAGAGCUGGACUGUGUGAGGUUUGGUUCUUGUGUGCACAACACGAAAUUGAGCAGUUCCACACUAGUCACAUGGACAAUUAUAAAAAUUCAAAAGUGUAACUGUGACUAGCCAAGAGCCAGCAUCUUCCAUAAUAAUCAGAAAAAACAAAACAAAACUAUACAGUUACCCUAGAAAUAAAUUAUUAUCCCCAAAGUACUAUUUUUCUUUUCACCUAAUAACUCAGUAAUGACUCAUUUCAAAAUCCAUCUUUACCAUUUUUAAUUUACUUAAUGCAUCUCUAACAUUCCAUCUGUGAUUAUUUUCAUUCUACUUGAAAACUACCCCCAGUUUCCUUAAAUGCACGACUGCUAGUCAUGAAUUUUUUAAGACAGUCGUAACAAGGUAACAAGGAAACUUCUUGGAAAAUACUCUUAUUGCACCUUUACUGUCAAAGACAUUUUCUUGGGUAAAAGAAAAUUUAGAUUAGCUGUUGUCUUUAAAUUGCUACAUGAAAAACCAUUCCAUUGUCUUCUUUUAUUGUUUAUUUUGAAAUAUAGGCUAUUUUUUGCCCCGCUAAAGGUAUUUACAAUUUUUGUUUUUCUAAUCUGAAUAUUUUCAGAAUAGAAAACUUUUCUUUCCAAAUAUGUUAAAGAUUUUGUACAAUGCGCUUGGAUAUUUGGGCUUAAUGAAGCUUAUUACAUGUGUUAAGUGAUGUCCAUCUCUCCAGUUUUGCAGUUUCCUAAAAUCUUCACCAUUAUCUUCUGAAGGAGAACUUUUGCUCCAUUCUUUCUCUCCUUUUUUUUCCCCCAGGGCUUAAGUUAUAAAGUUUAAGCUAUCCCAGUGAAUUCUUUAUGUCUAGUACUUUCUCAUGGAGUUUCUGUCUUAUUAGCUCUUCAUUUUCCAUAAUGGAUAGUUUCUUUUGGCUAAUUAAUUUUCUAGUAUACCAGUUCUCUUUUCAGCUGUGUUUAGUCACCUGUUAAACUCAUCUAUUGAAUUCUAAAUUUAGACUACUGCAUUUUUCACUUCUGUUAUAUCUUUUUAAUGGUGUUUUUGCAAAUAAUUUUUAAUACUGUCUGUUUUUUUGUAUAGAGCAAAUAAAUAUUAAAUUCUAUCAAGCAUUUCCUAUACCUGUAUUCUCCUAUGGGACUGCUUAUAUUGCCUAUUUUUGCUGAGUUUCUUCUUUCAUGGUUUCUCAUAUAAUUUUGUGCCUAAUACUGUAUUUUCAAAAUUGAUUGUAGAACCAAUUUGAAACUCAGAAUAAUGUUAUCUUCCACCAAAUGAUGUUCCUUUGUUUAUAACAUUUAACUGGGAAUUCUAACAUGAUGAGAUUACCUGAAUAAAAUUUAGGAAUUGAAAUUAUUUGAACUGAAUUGCAGUGCUUUCAAGUACCUGUCUGUAUUUGGUUUAGCCUUAUUUCUAGGGAUAGCUAUUUUUGUUUCCCACUUAAGGAGAGAAAAGUUUAAUAAACUUUUAUUCCCCCUUGGCCCUAGACUCAAACACCUUUCCUCUUAGCUCUGUGUAGUUAUGAUUCACAAGUGACAGCAAGCCUCUCAGUUUCUCAGAAGCAAGGGAAAAAGUAAUAUGAAAGCAGGGAUCAAGUUCUUCAGCAGGAAUCCUUUCCCAUAUCUGGGCCAGUAAUUCUUUGAAAAUUUAGUUUCAUUCUAAAGUCUUACAAAGUUAUUUUUAAUUGUAACCGACUUUCAAAGUCAUCCUUAGUGAGAAUCAUCUCAGUUUCCUAGUCUACUGUUAACAGAGGAUGUAGCUACAAGUUAAACCAAGCCAUUCCCCAUUUUAUGCACCAGAAUACAGUGCAUAUAUUCAAGCAAUAUUAGUGUUCAGCUUUUUUUUUUAAAUGGUGUCUCUGCUUACUCAGUUUCCUUUGAACUUUCAAACAUAUCUUUCAUAUAUUUCUCCAUAUUUCUAGCUUCUUCUCAAUUAAAAUCACUAUUUUUACUAUCUAGUUUUUCUUAAGUCUAUGUUUUGGUUACUAUGUGACCUGAACUUAUCAUCAUGAUGGAGAUGUUGUCAGAGCCACCAGGUUAUAAUGUUGACAUGGACAUAGGCAUUAAAGCCCAAGC
rnacentral:lncRNA from 1 species